rnacentral:rRNA from 1 species
UACGGGGGGGGCAAGCGUUGUUCGGAAUUACUGGGCGUAAAGGGCUCGUAGGCGGCCAACUAAGUCGGACGUGAAAUCCCCAGGCUCAACCUGGGAACUGCAUCCGAUACUGGUCGGCUAGAGUACGGGAGAGGGAAGCGGAAUUCCUGGUGUAGCGGUGAAAUGCGCAGAUAUCAGGAGGAACACCGGUGGCGAAGGCGGGUCUCUGGGCCGAUACUGACGCUGAGGAGCGAAAGCGUGGGGAGCGAACAGG